UUUUUUCAGGUCUUUGGGAGCUAGCACUUCUUCCGUUAAAAGCGGAUUUAGUUCAGCAGGUUCUGAAUAUAAAUCUAGGAAAGCGUCUGGAGAUGUUAAAAAGAAAGGAAAACUGGAUCCCUAUGCAUAUUUACCUUUGAAACGUACAACCUUGAAUAAAAGGAAAAAGAACAAGGCUGCUGGUCAAUUUAAGCAUAUCGUCAAAGCAGCAAAAGCAGGAGCUUUAAAAGGUGCCAAGGCAAAAAGGAAUAAAAACAAAUAAUUUAUUAAGUGUUAAACAAUUAUAGAAAUAAAACUAAUGUUAUUCGUUU
rnacentral:lncRNA from 1 species